rnacentral:rRNA from 1 species
GGCAGCUACAACAUCAAUAUUCUUCAUAGAGUUUGUAUAUCAAUUUACAGAACUGAACAUCGAUAUUUUCGAUAAUCAAUUUAUACAUUCAUGCUACACAGAAAAAGGGCCAAGCAACUCUGCCGCCCCUGCUGCAGACCGCACCGGGCAUGGGGCAGCGCCCGUCGGCAGCCGCUCGGUGUCCUACACCCGAUGGAGACGAGCAGCAGCGGCCCUCCGUGCCCGGUGCUGCUCCCUGCGACGGCCAGUGAGGCGUGCGAGGCGGGCUCCGGCAGUCAAACAGCACGGGCGGACGUGGGCGGCGCUCGGUGGCGUGGGCGGAGGCAAGCUCCGGCGGGUGGACGCAGGCGACGCCCGGUGGCGCGGGCGGAAGCAAGAUCCGAAGGGUGGACGCGGGCGGAGGCGGUGGCGCCUGGUGGCACGGGCGGACGCGGGGCGCUGUACUUCCUUGUCCUCCUGGCCGUCUACGUCGUCGUCGGCGCCGUCGUUGGAGAGCUCCGCUCCCGGUUGGCCUCAGCCAGUGCAGCGUUGAGGAGCGCCCUCACUCCCGGCGAGGGGACGCGGCGAGGUCCGGCAAGGGGACGAGGCAUCGGGGUCCGGCGAGGGGACGCGGCGUCGGUGUCCGGCGAGGGGACGCGGCGUCGGUGUCCGGCGAGUAGUGGAGUGGUGGUGCGGUGGGGAUUGAGAGAAGGGAGGCAGGAGAUGGGAUCGAGCAAAGUGGGUGGGUGGGGAUUUUUGUCGGUGGGGCGUGGGUGG